GGUGUGGUUGUGGUGGUGGGGUCUGGGGAUCCUCCGUGCAGGUAGGCAAGCGUGUUAACAGGGGUGACGCACAGUGGUAGCCCGGCGGACCUGAUGGCUUGGUCCGUUCAAGCGCGCAGCCCGUCCUCCAGGUAAAUCCGGGGGGCUGUCUUUGAUGACGGGGGUGAGGCGUGAUGGUGACCCCACUCUGGUGGGGGAUAGCAGGGUGAUCCUGGGGUGCCGAGAAAAGCCUCGACGCGAUGGUGCCAGCCGCCCGUACCCUAAACCGACACAGGUGGUCGGGCAGAGUAUGCCUAGGCGCACGAGUGAAUCAUGGUUAAGGAACUCGGCAAAAUGCCCCCGUAACUUCGGGAGAAGGGGGGCCCGAUCCCUUGAAGCCCCGUGGCGGGCUAGGGGGGUGGGUCGCAGAGACCAGGGGGAAGCGACUGUUUACUAAAAACACAGGUCCGUGCGAAGCCGUAAGGCGAUGUAUACGGACUGACGCCUGCCCGGUGCUGGAAGGUUAAGAGGAACCAUCAACCCUCGGGUGAAGUGGUGAAUUUAAGCCCCAGUAAACGGCGGUGGUAACUAUAACCAUCCUAAGGUAGCGAAAUUCCUUGUCGGGUAAGUUCCGACCUGCACGAAUGGCGUAACGACUUCCCCGCUGUCUCAACCAUGAGCUCGGCGAAAUUGCAGUACGAGUAAAGAUGCUCGUUUCGCGCAGAAGGACGGAAAGACCCCGGGACCUUUACUACAGCUUGGUAUUGGCGCCCGCUAUAGCUUGUGCAGGAUAGGUGGGAGACUGUGAAGCCGUUACGCCAGUGGCGGUGGAGUCGUCCUUGAAAUACCACUCUGGUUAUGGCGUGCGCCUGAACCUGGGCCCGUGAUCCGGGUUAGGGACAGUGCCUGGUGGGUAGUUUAACUGGGGCGGUUGCCUCCUAAAGUGUAACGGAGGCGCUCAAAGGUUCCCUCAGCCUGGUCGGCAACCAGGUGUUGAGUGCAAGUGCACAAGGGAGCUUGACUGUGAGACCGACGGGUCGAGCAGGUACGAAAGUAGGAACUAGUGAUCCGGCGAUCCCGUGUGGGUGGGUCGUCGCUCAACGGAUAAAAGGUACCCCGGGGAUAACAGGCUGAUCCUGCCCAAGA
rnacentral:rRNA from 1 species